AUUUGUUUAACUAUGGCAAUAGGAAGUUGGCAAUAUAUUAUCUGCAUAAAAUGUUUGUAUUAGUGUUUAUAUUUAGAUAUUAUUUAAUUUAUUAGCAGAUAAAUCUUUGUUGGAAUUAGCGUUUUUUGGGAAUAUAUUGCAAAAAGGGGAUAGGACACAGUGCCAGCAUCUGCGGUUAGUCUGUUAUCUUUGCUUUCUUAUAGACUAUACUUUUUUAAUUAUAAAUAAAGUUGGGUGAAAUCUUUUUAUUUUUGUAUUAUAUAAUUAUAAGGUGAAAAGUAAAAUAUAAUGACAGGGAUUAGAUACCCCAUUAAUUUAUUAUUUAAUUUUGUCUUAGUUUUUAACUAAAAUAGUUUGGCAGCGAGCGAUUCUUGUUGGGGGAAGGUGUGUUGUAAAGGAUGAUCCGCCUAUUAAUUUACUUUUAUUAUGUUGGUGUAUAUCUGGUUUAAUAUUAUUGUUUAGUUACUAGUUAAUUUGUGUAAAAUUUAUUUAAGCCAAGUCUAUGUGCUGCUUGUAGAAGUUCUCAUGCGUUACUUUUAUAAAGGUUAUAUUGUAAUAUUUAAUUAUUUAGGACUCAAAAGUAAUGUUUUAUUAGUUUGGAAACGUGAAUUAAGUUUAGCUCGGGUACACACCGCCCGUCACCCUCGGCGUAUGUUGAGGUAAGUCAUAACAAGGUAACUUUAAAGGAAUUUGAAGUUGGAUGUUUGAGUAAAUAAUUUAUUCAAACUAUA
rnacentral:rRNA from 1 species